rnacentral:lncRNA from 1 species
AUUCACCUGAAAUGAUCCCAUGAGUGCAUGGAUCCAUGCAUGGGCCUGUCACAUGGAGCAACAUCCCCAUUUCUAUUAGUGGUGAUGAGAAGUAAUUAGUUCUACAGGGUGACACCGUUUUUGUGUGAUUUUCUUGCAAGCCUAAGAAAAUGGUGAAAUAUAUUUUCCUCUCUGGGCUCAGAACAGGGCCUAGAAAUCAGGGCUGCACCUCUCACUCAAAUCCUGCUUUUGAAGAGAGCAUUGCUGCUUCAGGGAGGGCAGCAGGGAGAUGA